rnacentral:snRNA from 9 species
GUACCUACCUGGCGUCAGGGUACUGUGAUCAUGCAGGCGGUUUCCCUGGGGUGCGGCUGCUCCAUUGGAUUGCGGAGUGGUUGAUCCUUGCGAUUAUUUAAUCGUUUUUCGCUUUUUUAAUAUCUGAAGUAUCUCUAUAUUUUAUGUAAUUUUA